rnacentral:rRNA from 1 species
UACAGAGGUCCCAAGCGUUGUUCGGAUUCAUUGGGCGUAAAGGGUGCGUAGGCGGCGCGGUAAGUCGGGUGUGAAAUCUCGGAGCUUAACUCCGAAACUGCAUUCGAUACUGCCGUGCUUGAGGACUGGAGAGGAGACUGGAAUUUACGGUGUAGCGGUGAAAUGCGCAGAUAUCAGGAGGAACACCGGUGGCGAAGGCGGGUCUCUGGGCAGUAACUGACGCUGAGGAGCGAAAGCGUGGGGAGCGAACAGG